UACGAAGGGGGGCUAGCGUUGCUCGGAAUCACUGGGCGUAAAGGGCGCGUAGGCGGAUCUUUAAGUCGGGGGUGAAAGCCUGAGGCUCAACCUCAGAAUUGCCUUCGAUACUGGAGAUCUUGAGACCGGAAGAGGUAAGUGGAACUGCGAGUGUAGAGGUGAAAUUCGUAGAUAUUCGCAAGAACACCAGUGGCGAAGGCGGACUUACUGGUCCGGUUCUGACGCUGAGGCGCGAAAGCCAGGGGAGCAAACGGG
rnacentral:rRNA from 1 species